UACGUAGGUGACAAGCGUUGUCCGGAUUUACUGGGCGUAAAGAGCGCGCAGGCGGUCGUUCAAGUCGAGUGUGAAAGCCCCCGGCUCAACUGGGGAGGGUCAUUCGAUACUGAUCGACUCGAAGGCAGGAGAGGGUAGUGGAAUUCCCGGUGUAGUGGUGAAAUGCGUAGAUAUCGGGAGGAACACCAGUGGCGAAGGCGGCACUCUGGGCCGGAACUGACGCUGAGGAGCGAAAGCGUGGGGAGCGAACAGG
rnacentral:rRNA from 1 species